GACAGGACGGAAAGACCCCGUGGAGCUUUACUGCAGCCUGAUAUUGAAUGUUGGUACAGCUUGUACAGGAUAGGUAGGAGCCUUGGAAACCGGAGCGCCAGCUUCGGUGGAGGCAUCGGUGGGAUACUACCCUGGCUGUAUUGACCUUCUAACCCGCCGCCCUUAUCGGGCGGGGAGACAGUGUCAGGUGGGCAGUUGGACUGGGGCGGUCGCCUCCUAAAAGGUAACGGAGGCGCCCAAAGGUUCCCUCAGAAUGGUUGGAAAUCAUUCGCAGAGUGUAAAGGCACAAGGGAGCUUGACUGCGAGACCUACAAG
rnacentral:rRNA from 1 species